rnacentral:rRNA from 1 species
AACGAACGCUGGCGGCAGGCCUAACACAUGCAAGUCCAGCGCGCCCUUCGGGGUGAGCGGCGGACGGGUGAGUAACGCGUGGGAACGUGCCCUUUUCUACGGAAUAGCCUCGGGAAACUGAGAGUAAUACCGUAUACGCCCUUUGGGGGAAAGAUUUAUCGGAAAAGGAUCGGCCCGCGUUGGAUUAGGUAGUUGGUGGGGUAAUGGCCUACCAAGCCGACGAUCCAUAGCUGGUUUGAGAGGAUGAUCAGCCACACUGGGACUGAGACACGGCCCAGACUCCUACGGGAGGCAGCAGUGGGGAAUCUUAGACAAUGGGGGCAACCCUGAUCUAGCCAUGCCGCGUGAGUGAUGAAGGCCUUAGGGUUGUAAAGCUCUUUCAGCUGGGAAGAUAAUGACGGUACCAGCAGAAGAAGCCCCGGCUAACUCCGUG